AAAACUUUCAACAACGGAUCUCUUGGUUCUGGCAUCGAUGAAGAACGCAGCGAAAUGCGAUAAGUAAUGUGAAUUGCAGAAUUCAGUGAAUCAUCGAAUCUUUGAACGCACAUUGCGCCCCCUGGUAUUCCGGGGGGCAUGCCUGUCCGAGCGUCAU
rnacentral:rRNA from 1 species